rnacentral:rRNA from 1 species
UUGGACGGUCAGAGGGGUGGGGUUCCACCCGGUCUCAUCCGAACCCGGAAGUUAAGACCACCUCCGUACGGGAUGGUACUGCAUUGCGCGGGAACUCCCGUAAGCUGUCCACC